UACGAAGGGGGCUAGCGUUGCUCGGAAUUACUGGGCGUAAAGGGCGCGUAGGCGGACAGUUUAGUCAGAGGUGAAAGCCCAGGGCUCAACCCUGGAAUUGCCUUUGAUACUGGCUGUCUUGAGUACGGGAGAGGUGUGAGGAACUCCGAGUGUAGAGGUGAAAUUCGUAGAUAUUCGGAAGAACACCAGUGGCGAAGGCGGCUCUCUGGGACGGUACUGACGCUGAGACGCGAAAGCGUGGGGAGCGAACAGG
rnacentral:rRNA from 1 species